UAACAAAACAGAGUUUUGUUAACUCAUAACCCAAAAACCGUGGGCCCCACAUAUACAAACAUUGUUUGGCUGGGAAUUGGGUUAGUUAACAAAAUUGAGUUUUAAGAGAUGUGAGUUAUCAAUUUCGGAAACUUGUGAAGCUUGUUUUCAAGUUAUGGGUUUGUUCAUUUAGUGGCAUUUUUCGUAAUUUACAGCACAAUUGGGUCCCACGGAGCAGAGUGUUGUUCCAUUACUGCAGCAACAGAUGCUCCAACGGGUAGUAUUUUGUCAUAACUUUCCCAACUACCCAUGCUUUGCAAAGUUCAUCUCACUUUCCCUUUUCCUUCUCCCAAACCCAUAGCACCGCAAAGCAGAGAAAUAAGCUCCAACAGGUCAACUCCAAAAAACGCCGAUCAGCCCAACACCAAGCUCUAAUAGGUCAACUUCGUUCACUGAUUUCGCUUUUCGCCAAAUAGGACUACCUGGCUUACAUCAAGUACGAGACUCAGCUCGACUUGCUCGAUUGACUCAGGAAGAAGUCGGUGGCGCGUGAGCUUCAAGCCAAAGGAAACAUGAAGAUGAAGCAGUACCAUUCGGACUUCGCCGGCGUCACCAGGAUCGUUGAGAUUUUUCGCCUUGCUGUUACAAGUUUUAAAGGUGAUAUUGAUUUGUGGUUUCGGUACCUUGAGUUUUGUAGGCUAAAAAGGAAUGGAAGAAUUAAAAAGAUGAAGUCUUUUUUUUUUUUUUGGCUUUGUUUGGUUACUGAGAAAGUGAAGGAAAGUGUUGCUUUAGAUUGUAAAAUGAGAAAGUCAGCUUAAAAUUUUGUGUUUUUUUUUUUUUUUUGGGUAUUUUCUUAAGCUUCUUCUGGAGUUAUGGGUUCGGGUUUGUGCUUUGGGAGAGUAUGUGGGCUAAAGGGGGAAGGGGAAAUGAGAAAAGAGAAAAAAUGGGGAUGAAACGUUCCACGGGUAGGCUAACAGCUUUGCUCAGACCAAGUUAUAGGUACAAGGUUCACAAAAAGCUGAAAAUUUUGAGUGAUGACAAAUUGAGUGAUGUGUGCCAAACGGGUGGGUAUAAGAAAUUGAGGUAUUUUGAGAGAUGAGUGACGAAAAUUGAGUGAGGAGUGGUGAGUAAUGAAAAAAAAUGAACCAAAUAGGGCCUUAGAGAGUGUUUGGAUUGGGUGAACACUAAGUUAUAUAACUCAGUUUUCAUCACACAUAAUUCAAAACACGUGGGCCUCACAUCAUUUCUACUUGUUUGGCUUGGUUUUCUUUCUCAUUUUUCAUCACUCAUAACUCAAAAAAAUGAGUUAGAGUGAGUGAAAAUGAGAACAAAAUUUUUGUAUUUCCGAAUCAUGGAUUAUGAGUUACAGUGGCAAUGUUGUAA